CUCUCUCCCCCUCAAUCGGUACCACAAGCCGCGUCCGCCUCCACCUCUCUCUCCCUCCUCUCCCUCAAUCGGUACCGCCAGCCGCGACCGCCUCCACCUCUCUCUCCCUCAUUCCCUACCACCACACCGUGCAGCCUCAGAUUACAGGUAAGACCCCUACCACCACGCUGUGCAGCCUCGGAUUGAGCCUUACAGAUCUGAGAUCAUUCAAUGCAAGUUUACAAUAACAAAGGCACUGCUAUUCAAGGCUGACAGGUCAUCGUUCAACCGCCUUUGUCAACAGACCAUGUACAUGGAUGGUAUCCUCCAGUUUGCAGUUUGUGUCAACAGAACUGUGCUUCAGCGAUCCAGACCAUUGAUACUAUGGGCCCCCACUUUUGAAGGGCAUAUCUCGAAAACCAUUCAGAUGAGAAGACCCUUCCCAACCCAGUUGGAUGAUGAGGUUGUAUGAUGAAC